rnacentral:rRNA from 1 species
GUGCAGCAGGCGCGAAAACUUUACAAUGCGGGAAACCGUGAUAAGGGGACACCGAGUGCUAGCAUCAUAUGCUGGCUGUCCAGGUGUGUAAAAUACACCUGUUAGCAAGGGCCGGGCAAGACCGGUGCCAGCCGCCGCGGUAACACCGGCGGCCCGAGUGGUGAUCGUGAUUAUUGGGUCUAAAGGGUCCGUAGCCGGUUUGGUCAGUCCUCCGGGAAAUCUGACAGCUCAACUGUUAGGCUUUCGGGGGAUACUGCCAGACUUGGAACCGGGAGAGGUAAGAGGUACUACAGGGGUAGGAGUGAAAUCUUGUAAUCCCUGUGGGACCACCUGUGGCGAAGGCGUCUUACCAGAACGGGUUCGACGGUGAGGGACGAAAGCUGGGGGCACGAACCGGAUUAGAUACCCGGGUAGUCC